rnacentral:tRNA from 2 species
GUGGGUGUAGCUCAGACCGGUUAGAGCACUGGGUUGUGGCCCCAGAGGUCGCGGGUUCAAAUCCCGUCACUCACCCCA